AAACUACCUGGCAGUGGAGGUACCAUGAACAUUUAGGUCAUUUUCCUAGGGUGCAGCUCAUCCAUUAUACUGUGGGUGUGCUGAUCCAUGUGAUUUUUCCCAAAUGAGGGAAACUCGACUGCAUAAUUUGUUGUAGUGGGGGACUGUGUUUGCGCUUUCCCCUG
ensembl:snRNA U1 U1 spliceosomal RNA